GGGUUGUGAGGUUAAGCGACUAAGCGUACACGGUGGAUGCCCUGGCAGUCAGAGGCGAUGAAGGGCGUGCUAAUCUGCGAUAAGCGCCGGUAAGGUGAUAUGAACCGUUAUAACCGGCGAUACCCGAAUGGGGAAACCCAGUGUGAUUCGUCACACUAUCAUUAACUGAAUCCAUAGGUUAAUGAGGCGAACCGGGGGAACUGAAACAUCUAAGUACCCCGAGGAAAAGAAAUCAACCGAGAUUCCCCCAGUAGCGGCGAGCGAACGGGGAGGAGCCCAGAGCCUGAAUCAGCAUGUGUGUUAGUGGAAGCGUCUGGAAAGGCGCGCGAUACAGGGUGACAGCCCCGUACACAAAAGCGCAUGUGCUGUGAGCUCGAUGAGUAGGGCGGGACACGUGAUAUCCUGUCUGAAUAUGGGGGGACCAUCCUCCAAGGCUAAAUACUCCUGACUGACCGAUAGUGAACCAGUACCGUGAGGGAAAGGCGAAAAGAACCCCGGCGAGGGGAGUGAAAAAGAACCUGAAACCGUGUACGUACAAGCAGUGGG
rnacentral:rRNA from 1 species